AUUGAACGCUGGCGGCAUGCUUUACACAUGCAAGUCGAACGGCAGCGCGGGCUUCGGCCUGGCGGCGAGUGGCGAACGGGUGAGUAAUACAUCGGAACGUGCCCAGUAGUGGGGGAUAGCUCGGCGAAAGCCGGAUUAAUACCGCAUACGACCUGAGGGUGAAAGCGGGGGAUCUUCGGACCUCGCGCUAUUGGAGCGGCCGAUGGCAGAUUAGCUAGUUGGUGGGGUAAAGGCCUACCAAGGCGACGAUCUGUAGCUGGUCUGAGAGGACGACCAGCCACACGGGGACUGAGACACGGCCCAGACUCCUACGGGAGGCAGCAGUGGGGAAUUUUGGACAAUGGGCGAAGGCCUGAUCCAGCAAUGCCGCGUGUGUGAUGAAGGCCUUCGGGUUGUAAAGCACUUUUGGCGGGAACGAAAAGGACUGUGCCAAUACCACGGUUCGAUGACGGUACCCGCAGAAUAAGCACCGGCUAACUAC
rnacentral:rRNA from 1 species